rnacentral:tRNA from 1 species
GGACGGUUAGCUCAGCUGGGAGAGCACCUGCCUUACAAGCAGGGGGUCGGCGGUUCGAUCCCGUCACUGUCCACCA